CCCAGAAAUUAAAGGCCUUAAGGGACGGACCAUUAGAUAUUUGAUGGGGGGGGAGGGGGGGGGGGCAAAUACCAAAAAAAAACUCGCGUACAGAAAAAAUCCAGAAAAAAUAUUGUGCACAACAAACCUAUUGAAAAAAAAAAUCGAGCAAGAACUAGGGGUGAUUUUUAAAAUCGUAAAAAUUCCGGAGGAAAUUUUUUAGGUCAUCUUAAAAAAAAUAUCGUGCAAAGGAAUGUUGCAGAAAAAAAUUCUUGCAAGCAAUUGCAUGGGGGAUGAAAAAAAAAUUCGUGCACAGAAAAAUUGCCCAACCCCCCCCCUCCCCCUCCUCUCAAAUAUCUAAUGGUCCGUCCCUAAAGUACUUUAGCCUCAAGGUGAAAUGAGAGCCUGCACUGCAGAUGACAUACAUUUUUGAAUAUCUGCCCCGUGACGUUCGUUUUUUCCAAAUAUGGAAUGUCUAUCCUUAUAUGGUGUUGUUUACAACUUUCGUGCAAACUAAAUUUAGAUCCCGCAAACUACAGUUUAUAGACC